AUUGAACGCUGGCGGCAUGCCUUACACAUGCAAGUCGUGCGGCAGCGCGGGGGCAACCCUGGCGGCGAGCGGCGGACGGGUGAGUAAUACAUCGGAACGUGUCCUUUCGUGGGGGAUAACCAGUCGAAAGACUGGCUAAUACCGCAUGAGAUCUCACGAUGAAAGCGGGGGACCGCAAGGCCUCGCGCGAUUGGAGCGGCCGAUGUCGGAUUAGCUAGUUGGCGGGGUAAAAGCCCACCAAGGCGACGAUCCGUAGCUGGUUUGAGAGAACGACCAGCCACACUGGGGCUGAGACACGGCCCAGACUCCUACGGGAGGCAGCAGUGGGGAAUUUUGGACAAUGGGGGCAACCCUGAUCCAGCCAUGCCGCGUGUGUGAAGAAGGCCUUCGGGUUGUAAAGCACUUUCGGCCGGAACGAAAUCGCGCGGAUUAAUAACCCGCGUGGAUGACGGUACCGGAAGAAGAAGCACCGGCUAACUACGUGCCAGCCGCCGCGGUAA
rnacentral:rRNA from 1 species